UAAAUAAAUAAAAUAUUGGAGGUGGGAUGGAUGGCUGGAGGAUCUGAAACUUCCCAUCAAGGUAAAAUUCACCUUGGGUUCUGGGUUACACUCAGCUGGGACUAAAUAAAUAAAAUAUUGGAGGCUCUGAAGCAUCCCAUCAAGGUAAAAUUCA